rnacentral:rRNA from 1 species
AGUGAACGCUGGCGGUAGGCCUAACACAUGCAAGUCGAACGGCAGCACAAUAAGAGCUUGCUCUUACGGGUGGCGAGUGGCGGACGGGUGAGGAAUACAUCGGAAUCUACUUUUUCGUGGGGGAUAACGUAGGGAAACUUACGCUAAUACCGCAUACGACCUACGGGUGAAAGCAGGGGAUCUUCGGACCUUGCGCGAUUGAAUGAGCCGAUGUCGGAUUAGCUAGUUGGCGGGGUAAAGGCCCACCAAGGCGACGAUCCGUAGCUGGUCUGAGAGGAUGAUCAGCCACACUGGAACUGAGACACGGUCCAGACUCCUACGGGAGGCAGCAGUGGGGAAUAUUGGACAAUGGGCGAAAGCCUGAUCCAGCCAUACCGCGUGGGUGAAGAAGGCCUUCGGGUUGUAAAGCCCUUUUGUUGGGAAAGAAAAGAAGCAGGUUAAUACCCCGCUGUUCUGACGGUACCCAAAGAAUAAGCACCGGCUAACUUCGUG